rnacentral:rRNA from 1 species
UACGGAGGGUGCAAGCGUUAAUCGGAAUUACUGGGCGUAAAGCGAGCGUAGGUGGCUUGAUAAGUCAGAUGUGAAAUCCCCGGGCUUAACCUGGGAACUGCAUCUGAUACUGUCAGGCUAGAGUAGGUGAGAGGAAGGUAGAAUUCCAGGUGUAGCGGUGAAAUGCGUAGAGAUCUGGAGGAAUACCGAUGGCGAAGGCAGCCUUCUGGCAUCAUACUGACACUGAGGCUCGAAAGCGUGGGUAGCAAACAGG